rnacentral:tRNA from 1 species
GGCGGUGUAGCUCAGUUGGCUAGAGCACGCGGUUCAUACCCGCGGUGUCGCCGGUUCAAUUCCAGCCACCGCCACCA